GUCCCUGUAGCGCAGUGAAUACCGCGUUGAACUUCUCAUCCAAAGGUCGAGGGCUCGAAUUCCACCUGGGAUG